AGGUUUACAGUGUUGACUGGAGCCAAACUAGAGGAGAACAGGUAGUGGUGUCUGGUUCAUGGGAUCAAACUGCCAAACUGUGGGACCCAACUGUGGGGCGGUCAUUAUGCACUUUUAAAGGCCACGAAGGCAUCAUUUACAGCACUAUAUGGUCUCCGCACAUCCCAGGCUGUUUUGCAUCUGCCUCAGAAAAUGGGGGAGGAGCAGAAAAGAAGGGGAUCCCUUGCCAUGCUGAAAUGUA